UUGUUCUCUUUUUUGUGUCAUUAAGGACUAUUCAGCAGCAGAGCACAUGGUCCAUGAGGAUUUGCCUGUUGCAGAAUCAUCAGUUGCUUUUCAACUGCCGGCAAGCUGAACCUGUUAAAACAUGGCAGGUUCCAAAGGGCCUGACUGCUGCUUGCUUUGUCGCCUACUUAAAGUCAGUUUACCCCCAAAUGGAGAGGAGAAACUUUCAGUUCUGCAAAGUUAACCGCCACAGGGUCCUGAUCUCCCUUGAGGAGAAAACCCCUGAACAAUUACGUUCCAGUGGAGUGUUGGGUCGUUCGGCUCUAUAUAUUCGCCCUGAGGUUAAGUAUUGUUCUUUAUUGAAUUUUUCUGUUGUUGUACAAAAUAGAUUAGAUAGAUAGAGAGUGAGUUCCAAGAGAAAAUAAUUAAUGGUGUUUUCCCUUUCUCUGCACAAAAGCAUACAUGAGAAAUUGUCAUGCACUUAGUGAUGUAUUUGAAGUGCACAAUACAAAUAAAUUAUAACUAUUGUUUUGUGUGUAAUCUCACCCUUUAUGCAUCUGGAACAUCAAAUCAGACAAGUGAUGAGGAUGAAGGAAUGCUGGUAAGUUUACUUAACUAAGCUGUUAUUAUCCGUGACAUACAGUAAAUGAAAUAGUACAAUAAACUGGCAAAUAGUAAAU
rnacentral:lncRNA from 1 species